UCCUCUGUGGCGCAAUUGGCUAGCGCGUCUGACUGUUAUUCAGUGAAUUCCAUCAGGAGGUUGACAGUUCAAGCCUGUCCGGAGGAG
rnacentral:tRNA from 1 species